AAAUUAUUAAUUAUUAUUAUUAAGGGGCUGGCGACAUCGCUGUGGAAAGGCCUGUGAGAGAGCACCAACAACAGGGCUUUCCUUCAGAGAGGAGAGCUUGCAUGUGUUUCUAUGGAUGUGUUGAGGUCUGUCUGUCUGUGGAUUGCUUCUUGGUGUCUGUGUGAGUGCUCCCAGCUGCCUGCAUGCCCACAGUACCACAUGAGAAGAAUAAGCUUGUUGCAGCCAAAAUUGACUGCAACACAGGAAGACCAAGAGUUCCUAUCAGUGUCACCAAUCUGUAGCUGAGUUUGCAUCAUCGACUUGCUGACAGUUCCUGUGUCUCAUGUAAGAAGUCAAGAUGCUUUGUAAUCCAGUUCGUUGAUGCAGUUCAUCCUGGACUCCAGCAAUUGUUAAAAUUGAAAAGGAUAAUAUCCCCAUGCUCUGGUCACUUUGUCCAAAGGAACACACAAUACACACACGUUCAUCGUCUCAGCUGCAGCUCAUCAGUGACUCAGUGCCUGACUCACUGACCCCGUGACAGUCACUUUUAGAACUUUUGUACUGCUCUGCCUGAUCACUGACCAGGCUUGGCCAUCUCUGGGCUCCUGCUCACAGAGCUUUUUCUGCUUCAUGUUUUUGUUCGAGAGCAAAAAAAAAAGUUAUCUGCCCAAAGGGAGUCUUAAAUUAGCAGCCUGAAAGAUUUAUGUUACAUUGAGGUAUUUACUUACUAGCAAAAACAGGUGUAAACUUAGCAAAGUGGUAAAUUUUUCAGGAAUAUUGGCCUUAGUCCCCGCGUGCUGAAAGCCCCAGGAUCUGCGGUGCUGCUGCUGGACACAGACUGGAGGUCAGAGGUCAGUCGCAGUCACGGACUCGGAAACCGAAGGCGAAUUCCUGGCGUUUCUUCUGGUGUGGCUGCAAAGGGCUGUGUGGACGAGAGAGCUGUGUGUGAGGUGCUCUCUGUCCCCAGCCCACCGUGGCAGUGGGUGCUGCUCUUCAGUGCUCUUCAGACAGAACUCAAGUGGGAAUCCAUCCGUGAUGUUGUUGAUUUUGGACGCCCUGCUGUUUCCUCUGGUAAGCCCGUGGGAAACGGGAAGAGAUUUACCCAAGACACUCUGGGGGGACUUUUCCCUGCUGCAGGGCUCUCACCAUCCACAGAGCCAGUUCCUUUGCCACCUAGCCACCCCUGUCUGCCAUGCUGCCUGUCUCUGCAAUAAUGUUUCAAGUCCUUCGUAGUAAAAGACACUAACCUAGAGUGGUAAUGUAUUGGAAAUCAGACCAAUAGUAAAGAAAACAAUAUUUACAUUUUUGUUUUGAGGUAUUAGGAGAAUCUAAUAUUUGGAUGUUGAAAAUACACACAUUACUAUUGUACUAUGUACUAUUGCGUACCAUUGGAGCUCUUGCACUACCGUACUGUUGGGCUACAUAGUAAUGAUCAUAUGGCUUCUUCAGCGGGGUGCUAAAAUCAGUCUAAUUCUCUUUCCUCCCAGGGCCUUCUGUGUAUUUACACAGCACAGCCCAGUGGCGGGAGGGGUGUGUCUGCCAGCCCUCAGCCUUGGGAUUUGGGUGUGCAAAUUCAUGCAAAUGCUUCAGUUUAUGAUGUCGUCCUUCUUAACUUGAAGAGUCCUUUCAUCCUUCCCCCUGGUGAAAGGAGGCUCUGAUCAAGCGGUCUGUGCUGCAGGCCGGGCCCUGAGAGUCUGUGUGGCAGGGUGAGCAGUGAGAUCUAGACGCUGUGGCCUUUUCAACAGAGCGACGCUGGUGACGUCUGCAGGACAAUUGUUGGUUCUCUUUCCACGUUUCUCACAUUGUAAGUUAAUUCUUGCGGCGCAAGUCAGGAAAACGGCACGCAAAAUAAAACACACUAACACCUACGUAACAUAAGAAAGCUUACAGA
ensembl:lincRNA